GCGUUGCUCGGAAUGACUGGGCGUAAAGGGCGCGUAGGCGGAUGGCACAGUCAGAUGUGAAAUUCCCGGGCUUAACCUGGGGGCUGCAUUUGAUACGUGUGAUCUAGAGUGAGGAAGAGGGUCGUGGAAUUCCCAGUGUAGAGGUGAAAUUCGUAGAUAUUGGGAAGAACACCGGUGGCGAAGGCGGCGACCUGGUCCUUGACUGACGCUGAGGCGCGAAAGCGUG
rnacentral:rRNA from 1 species